rnacentral:rRNA from 1 species
GAUGAACGCUGGCGGCGUGCCUAAUACAUGCAAGUCGAGCGAACAGACGAGGAGCUUGCUCCUCUGACGUUAGCGGCGGACGGGUGAGUAACACGUGGAUAACCUAUCUAUAAGACUGGGAUAACUUCGGGAAACCGGAGCUAACACCGGAUAAUAUAUUGAACCGCAUGGUUCAAUAGUGAAAGACGGUUUUGCUGUCACUUAUAGAUGGAUCCGCGCCGCAUUAGCUAGUUGGUAAGGUAACGGCUUACCAAGGCAACGAUGCGUAGCCGACCUGAGAGGAUGAUCAGCCACACUGGAACUGAGACACGGUCCAGACUCCUACGGGAGGCAGCAGUAGGGAAUCUUCCGCAAUGGGCGAAAGCUUGACGGAGCAACGCCGCGUGAGUGAUGAAGGUCUUCGGAUCGUAAAACUCUGUUAUUAGGGAAGAACAAAUGUGUAAGUAACUAUGCACGUCUUGACGGUACCUAAACAGAAAGCCACGGCUAACUACGUG